UACAGAGGUCCCAAGCGUUUGUUCGGAUUCAUUGGGCGUAAAGGGUGCGUAGGCGGCGCCGUAAGUCAGGUGUGAAAUCUCGGGGCUUAACUCCGAAACUGCAUUUGAUACUGCGGUGCUUGAGGACUGGAGAGGAGACUGGAAUUUACGGUGUAGCGGUGAAAUGCGUAGAUAUCGUAAGGAAGACCAGUGGCGAAGGCGGGUCUCGUGGACAGUUCCUGACGCUGAGGCACGAAGGCCAGGGGAGCAAACGGG
rnacentral:rRNA from 1 species